rnacentral:rRNA from 1 species
UGGAAACGGUAGCUAAUACCGCAUAACGUCGCAAGACCAAAGAGGGGGACCUUCGGGCCUCUUGCCAUCAGAUGUGCCCAGAUGGGAUUAGCUAGUAGGUGGGGUAACGGCUCACCUAGGCGACGAUCCCUAGCUGGUCUGAGAGGAUGACCAGCCACACUGGAACUGAGACACGGUCCAGACUCCUACGGGAGGCAGCAGUGGGGAAUAUUGCACAAUGGGCGCAAGCCUGAUGCAGCCAUGCCGCGUGUAUGAAGAAGGCCUUCGGGUUGUAAAGUACUUUCAGCGGGGAGGAAGGUGUUGUGGUUAAUAACCACAGCAAUUGUCGUUACCCGCAGAAGAAGCACCGGCUAACUCCGUGCCAGCAGCCGCGGUAAUACGGAGGGUGCAAGCGUUAAUCGGAAUUACUGGGCGUAAAGCGCACGCAGGCGGGUCUGUCAAGUCGGAUGUGAAAUCCCCGGGCUCAACCUGGGAACUGCAUUCGAAACUGGCAGGCUGGAGUCUCGUAGAGGGAGGUAGAAUUCCAGGUGUAGCCGGUGAAAUGCGUAGAGAUCUGGGAGGAAUACCGGUGGCGAAGGCGGCCUCCUGGACGAAGACUGACGCUCAGGUGCGAAAGCGUGGGGGAGCAAACAGGAUUAGAUACCCUGGGUAGUCCACGCUGUAAACGAUGUCGAUUUGGAGGUUGUGCCCUUGAGGCGUGGCUUCCGGAGCUAACGCGUUAAAUCGACCGCCUGGGGAGUACGGCCGCAAGGUUAAAACUCAAAUGAAUUGACGGGGGCCCGCACAAGCGGUGGAGCAUGUGGUUUAAUUCGAUGCAACGCGAAGAACCUUACCUGGUCUUGACAUCCACAGAAGUUUCCAGAGAUGGGAAUGUGCCUUCGGGAACUGUGAGACAGGUGCUGCAUGGCUGUCGUCAGCUCGUGUUGUGAAAUGUUGGGUUAAGUCCCGCAACGAGCGCAACCCUUAUCCUUUGUUGCCAGCGGUCCGGCCGGGAACUCAAAGGAGACUGCCAGUGAUAAACUGGAGGAAGGUGGGGAUGACGUCAAGUCAUCAUGGCCCUUACGACCAGGGCUACACACGUGCUACAAUGGCGCAUACAAAGAGAAGCGACCUCGCGAGAGCAAGCGGACCUCAUAAAGUGCGUCGUAGUCCGGAUUGGAGUCUGCAACUCGACUCCAUGAAGUCGGAAUCGCUAGUAAUCGUGGAUCAGAAUGCCACGGUGAAUACGUUCCCGGGCCUUGUACACACCGCC